rnacentral:ncRNA from 1 species
ACAACGGCUGUGACGAGGAGUAGUAGGCGGACGAUAUAGUCAGAGAGAGCUGGUGGGUGGUGCGAACCAGCCUAUAUCCCGCUGAACUCGCCUCCGAGCCGAAUCCCUGAACGACGAGUAGGGGAUUCCGUCUCGCCCCCGUGAUCGGGCCAAUGAAGGGUGAUGAACGGUUCACGGCCGUUCUUCACUGAACCAGGGUGGUACCACGGAGCUUUACAAAAGCCUCCGUCCCUGAA